rnacentral:rRNA from 1 species
UACGUAGGGUGCGAGCGUUAAUCGGAAUUACUGGGCGUAAAGCGUGCGCAGGCGGUGAUGUAAGACAGAUGUGAAAUCCCCGGGCUCAACCUGGGAACUGCAUUUGUGACUGCAUAGCUAGAGUACGGUAGAGGGGGAUGGAAUUCCGCGUGUAGCAGUGAAAUGCGUAGAUAUGCGGAGGAACACCGAUGGCGAAGGCAAUCCCCUGGACCUGUACUGACGCUCAUGCACGAAAGCGUGGGGAGCAACAGG